GCCUUCGUAGCUUAAUGGAUAGAGCAGUUGGCUUCGAACCAACCGGUUGGGGGUUCGAAUCCCUCCGAAGGCA
rnacentral:tRNA from 1 species